rnacentral:rRNA from 1 species
UACGAAGGGGGCUAGCGUUGCUCGGAAUUACUGGGCGUAAAGGGCGCGUAGGCGGGUGUUUAAGUCAGAGGUCAAAUCCCAGGGCUCAACCCUGGAACUGCCUUUGAUACUGGGCACCUAGAGUUCGGGAGAGGUGUGUGGAACUCCGAGUGUAGAGGUGAAAUUCGUAGAUAUUCGGAAGAACACCAGUGGCGAAGGCGACACACUGGCCCGAUACUGACGCUGAGGCGCGAAAGCGUGGGGAGCAAACAGGG